CAUACAUAUGUAUUUAAAAUAAUAAUACCACUAUGGGACAGUCAAUAUCGGGAUGGGAUGAAACCAACGGGAAAUGUUAUAUCGGUAAAAAAGAAGUUAU